UUCUCCUCCUUCUGCCAAUCCCUCCCAGCAUCAGUCUUUUCCAAUGAGUCAACUCUUCGCAUGAGGUGGCCAAAGUACUGGAGUUUCAGCUUUAGCAUCAUUCCUGGUUUCCUUUAGGUUUUAUUCAUUAGGGAAAACAAUAUCAUUCUUGGGAUACUGUUUACCAUUCAAGUUCUUAGAUUCCAGCCAAACGUCAAUCUUGCAAAUAGACCUUUUUAGAGAUGGUAGCGACAGGUCUGCUAUGAUAACUCAAUUUUGCACACGAACUGAAUCUCGCAUAUUUCUAAAUCUAUAUAAUCUUUGAAAAUUUUGUUUUCAUGACUACUAUAGAGCAGGUUUAGGCUUGAAAAUAACUGAGGAGCAAAAUAUAGGUGUUAUAGAAGUUUAAAAAAUAUUAAUAUAUUUGCUGCCCCUUUGGAAGCUUAUCUCCCUUUAAAUAUAUGAAAUGCUAAGUCAAUUCAGUUAUGUCUGACUCUAUGCGACCCCAUAGAUGACAGCCCACCAGGCUCCCCCAUUCCUGGGAUUCUCCAGGCAAGAACACUGGAGUGGGUUGCCAUUUCCUUCUCCAUAUAUGAAAUGAGUAAUCCUCUAAUUAAACUUAUUGGGAGAUUGCACAAAAGAAAAUAAAGUUUAUUAAUGGACAUAUAAGGCACAGCUAUGGAAUAUGUGGGGUGCAGGACAAAUGGAGAGCAGGGGGCAGAGUGCUGCCAGAAGUGACACUUAGUGAGGACCCAGAUGAGAGUUUGUAGAAAUGAUGCUGGCAUCCAUUAAUGAGGAGUAACAGCAGCUGAACAUACCAGGGCCAAAGUCACAAAGCUCAAUGACUUAACACACAAAACAAACAAGCAAAGAAAAGAAGCCCCACAGAACGAAUCUGAUUGAAAGAUGAAACAAGGAGGUUUCUGGGUUAUCGAACAGGGUUUUGAUAUCCUGGAUGCUAGUUUCAGAGCUUGUAGUGUGUUCUUUUUCUUUGGAUGAACCUUGAAAAUAUUGAUAUAUCUAAGAUAAAAAACAUUUUUCAUGUACAUACACAGCUAAUUGCAGCAGGCAGUAGUUAAGAAAAAAUUGAAUCAGAUGCCUAGAGGAGACCAAAGAACACACCUUUGCCUGAAAAUAUCCACAGAUGUCAGUAUCAACAAAUGAGAAAGAAAAGCAACACAUACACAUUCUUGAUCUUAAAAAAAAAAUUCUGGCAUCUUUGAUUGUCUUUUAUUUAUCAGUGUCAUAAAAAAGAUACAAUUUUUUUGUCAGUUCAAUGCAAUCAUGUUUAUUGUCUAUUUUUUUUCAUAGGAAAUAUGGAAGGUAGUUAACCCUACUUGUGAUUAACAGCAUGGAUUUUGGAGUCAGAGAGAUCUUAUUUGAAAGCUUAUCACUCACUAUGCUAACACAGUGAAUAUUGAGUACCAGCACAUCUCCUCUGUACCUCAGUGUGAUUAUCUUGAAGUGAGAAUUAUGCUGAAAAUUAAAUAAGGCGUUGCCUCAGGAAUUAUGCAAGAUUCUAUAUCAUUGAAGGAGGAAACAGACAGAACAGGCUCUAUCUUGAAAGCAGGACUCCAUCUCGGGCCGGACUGUGGACUUUGAACUAUAUGCCCAGUUUCUAUGGGAAUGAUAUACCAACUGGAAAAACAGACCCCUGAUGGAAGAGCCCCAGGGCUCAUACCUAGACUCUCCGUUGCCAGAAUACCCUAACUAUCUCUGUAACCGAAUAGAAUCAUAAAUCCUAUUAUGCUUAUUGGGGUAUGACCACAGGCCUAUUGAUAAUUGUCCACUGUUAACUACUGAGGCUAAAGGCAUAUGAAUCACAGGUUAACUUUGAUUGCAUCUUUCUUUUCCUUUGUUCAGACUAGUUUCAGGGAAUUUGGGGAGGUGGGUUUGGGCACGUACACUUAGGGUAUAUAUAAGAUUUUCACAAAAACUGGUUGGAAUCCUUGGCUAGGAGGACACUCUGCCUUGGGCCCACUGGCAUAAUAAACUGCACUCCACUUAAAAAAAAAAUAAAGAAUAUCUGAUUCCACCAUUAUACCAACUUUUAAUAGUGGCUUUACAUAAGUGGUGUUUUAAAUGUAAUGAAAUUGAUAUAAAAUGUCCUGAACAAGCUGAGAAACUAAGUUGAAUUUCAAAGGCAAAGAAUUUGUUUUAAUCUGUCAAUAGCACAGUUAACUAAUUUAGUUAAUUUUGAUUGUGAGAUUAAGUGCAUUUCUUAUUUCAUUGGUUUAAACCAGUCAUUCCCAAAGCCCUAUAUUUAUUUAAACAGAAACAAGACACAUGCAUGUGCAUGCACAAACACACACAGACACAUAACCUCUGAGACUGACAGAAGGUUUUCUAUUAUUUUGUUAUGUCAAAUAAAAAUGUUAUGUUAGCAUUAAAUAAAGCCAUUUUUAAAAUAA